rnacentral:rRNA from 1 species
UACGUAGGGUGCAAGCGUUGUCCGGAAUUAUUGGGCGUAAAGAGCUCGUAGGCGGUCUGUUGCGUCGGCUGUGAAAACCCGGGGCUCAACCCCGGGCCUGCAGCCGAUACGGGCAGACUAGAGUUCGGUAGGGGAGACUGGAAUUCCUGGUGUAGCGGUGAAAUGCGCAGAUAUCAGGAGGAACACCGGUGGCGAAGGCGGGUCUCUGGGCCGAAACUGACGCUGAGGAGCGAAAGCGUGGGGAGCGAACAGG